CUACGGGCCCCUGGACAAUGUCCGCAUCGUGACGCUGGCCCCGGAGUUGGGCCGUAGCCACGAAGUGAUCCGGGCGCUGACGGCCCGUGGCAUCUGCGUGUCCCUAGGUGAGGGGCCGGCUCGGGGUGGGCCUGCUUGGGGGACGUGGGCCAGGUGCAAAGUCUGAAUCCAGGUCCCGCAGGGCACUCAGUGGCUGACCUGCGGGCGGCAGAGGAUGCUGUGUGGAGCGGAGCCACCUUCAUCACCCACCUCUUCAACGCCAUGCUGCCUUUCCACCACCGCGACCCAGGCAUCGUGGGGCUCCUGACCAGCGACCGGCUGCCCGCAGGCCGCUGCAUCUUCUAUGGGAUGAUUGCGGAUGGCACGCACACCAACCCCGCCGCCCUGCGGAUCGCCCACCGUGCCCAUCCCCAGGGUAAGCUGCGGCAGGUGGGCAGGACAGGUAGGAUGACUGGGCUAGCAGGUUCUGAGUCUCUUCUCCCCCAGGGCUGGUGCUGGUCACCGAUGCCAUCCCUGCCUUGGGC
rnacentral:sRNA from 1 species